rnacentral:rRNA from 1 species
GUGGAGCCAACCUUGAAAUACCACCCUUUAAUGUUUGAUGUUCUAACGUUGGCCCCUUACCGGGGUUGCGGACAGUGUCUGGUGGGUAGUUUGACUGGGCGGUCUCCUCCCAAAGCGUAACGGAGGAGCACGAAGGUUAGCUAAUCCUGGUCGGACAUCAGGAGGUUAGUGCAAUGGCAUAAGCUAGCUUGACUGCGAGCGUGAGGCGCGAGCAGGUGCGAAAGCAGGUCAUAGUGAUCCGGUGGUUCUGAAUGGAAGGGCCAUCGCUCAACGGAUAAAGGUACUCCGGGGAUAACAGGCUGAUACCGCCCAAGAGUUCAUAUCGACGGCGGUGUUUGGCACCUCGAUGUCGGCUCAUCACAUCCUGGGGCUGAAGUAGGUCCCAAGGGUAUGGCUGUUCGCCAUUUAAAGUGGUACGCGAGCUGGGUUUAGAACGUCGUGAGACAGUUCGGUCCCUAUCUGCCGUGGGCGCUGGAGAAUUGAGGGGGGCUGCUCCUAGUACGAGAGGACCGGAGUGGACGCAUCACUGGUGUUCGGGUUGUCAUGCCAAUGGCACUGCCCGGUAGCUAAAUGCGGAAGAGA